AGAGCGAACGCUGGCGGCAGGCCUAACACAUGCAAGUCGAACGGACUCUUCGGAGUUAGUGGCGGACGGGUGAGUAACACGUGGGAACGUGCCUUUAGGUUCGGAAUAAGCUCGGGAAACUGGGUCUAAUACCGAAUGUGCCCUUCGGGGGGAAAGAUUUAUCGCCUUUAGAGCGGCCCGCGUCUGAUUAGCUUGUUGGUGGUGUAAUGGACCACCAAGGCGACGAUCAGUAGCUGGUCUGAGAGGAUGACCAGCCACAUUGGGACUGAGACACGGCCCAAACUCCUACGGGAGGCAGCAGUGGGAAUCUUGCGCAAUGGGCGAAAGCCUGACGCAGCCAUGCCGCGUGUAUGAUGAAGGUCUUAGGAUUAGUAAAAUACUUUCACCGGUGAAGAUAAUGACUGUAGCCGGAGAAGAAGCCCCGGCUAACUUCGCGCCAGCCAGCCGC
rnacentral:rRNA from 1 species